UUCUCCGCGAAGGAAGCGGGUGGCCCGAAACCACAAUUCCCAGCAUCCCUCGGGGUGGAACCGGUUUUUUGCUUACCGUGAGGAGACUUCAGGCGGUAAUAAUAAUGAUGCAUUUGCAACAGGCUUCAUUUGGAAUAAAACAGUGAUCUGACCCUAGUCUAAAGCAGGCAUGAGCAAAUUUCAUCGUGCGCCGCCGGUCGGGCUCGCCUCGAGGCCCCGCAGGAUCCGCUCCGGCCAGGCAGGCCCGAGGCUGCCUCCACCCCCCUUUUUUUUAAUCUUUUUUUUUCAACAUGGCCUUGAGAAACGAAUGGACAAAACGCCUCAAAUGUUGUGAACCUGUGUUUUUUUAAAUUUUAAAACUUCAAAGACGGCUGAGAGAAUUCUGGGAAUCUUAAACUGGCAGGUUUGAAAAAAACUGCACAAACAAAACCGUUUGGAAACAAAGAAACAAUUAAGAAAAAGCGAACGGAAAAAGAAUCCUAACAACCAGGAUCCAUCUAUCUUCAUCCAUCCACCCAUCCAUGCUUCUUUCUUGCUUUGGCAAUCCUGCCUGGGGAAUUCUGGGAUUAAAGAACCCCGCACACCUCAAAGAGGACCAAAAAAAAGGGGAUCUUUAGGAUUCUUUUGUAUGGGUCAUUUCAAAAAACGGUUACAUAUAUUCCCAUGGAGAGGUUUCUGUUUAAUGCCUUCAUCCUCGGUGACAAUCGUUGGUUUUUUAUUCCAGUAAUAAUGUUUCUUAUUGGUUUAGUAUGUUGUUGAUCAUCCAGAGUUGUGUGUGUGAGAUGGGUUGCCAUAGAAACCAACUUAAUAUGCCUUUAGAGCAUUGCCAGGCAUCUCCCUGUUCUAGAACCGUAAUGUUCAGGUUAGCAAAAGGACUCCCAGCAGUCCUGAGCAUCGCAUAAUCCCAGGAGCGCAUAUUAAUCAGGAAGAGCCCAACUGGAACACUCAACAUGAGGUCCCAAAAGAGGUGUCUAUGCAAGUGAAAGUGGCCAUCAUUAGGCUGGAAAAAAAAACCAUCAGAGAGAUAGUAAAAAUGUUGAGAGUAGCCAAAAUUGUUUGGAACUUUCUUAAAAGAAGGAAUUAGCUGGAAGGCUCAGCAACACCAAAAAGCCUGGAAGAUCAAGGAAGACACUAAAGUGGAUAACCACAGAAUUCUGUCAUUAGUGAAGAAAAACCCUUUCACAACAUCUGGCCAAGUCGUGAACACUCUUGAGAAGGUAGCAGUGUCAUUGCCAAAGUCUACAGUCAAGAGACAGCUUCACAAAUCUAAAUAUAGAGGCUUCACAGUAAGAACCAGAUAGGAAAGUGCCCAGCAGGCAUCUGCAAGCAAGUCCGAGUCACUGCUGAAGAGCAAGCGAGACAAGACCGGCAAACAGGAUGACACCUGCCCAAAAACACAAUUGCAAGAGAUCGUGAGAACACCGGACCAAGAGGUCAAGAGGAAGUUACAGGCAUUUCAGCAGUUCUCCACAGAGUUUUAGUGAGAUGUCUUUGGUCAAUUGGAUCACAACCACAGAAAUAAGCAGGACAAAGACAGAGCAAGCUGUAAAGUUGAUUAAGAUCUUCAAGAAAUAGCUGGCCCUCCUCUUACCUGUAGUGUGCUGUUUUCACUUCUCUUGAGGAACUCAACAAACCUGUCCACAACUCCCUGAGUACUUAUCACCUCAUCGAUUGGAGGAUUGGGCUCUAAAAUAAAAUUUAAAAAGAAACUGAA